CAAUGCAGAUUGCAAUCUAUGUUCUCUAAACAUUGUACGAACAAAGAUGAAUAAUUUAAGUAAUCAUAAAUUAAUAAAUAAACGCAUCUUAGAAUUCUAUGUAAGCCAUAACAAGUUUGAACUUGAAGAAAUUCGAAAGUACUUACACGAUAAUUGGUCGUUGAAUUUUGAAGCAUUGUAUGGAUUGUAUAAAGAUAUAUUAAAUCCAGUUCUGGCAGAUUAUAAUUACGAGAAGUCCUUAGACUCUUUUCGAAAAUUAUUGCCAAUUUUUGAAGGCAUAAAUUUCUUGUACUGCAACGCUCAAUUGGAUUUAAAAAUUUUUAAUUUUGAAUGGCUUGGAGUCAAUUCCAAAUAUUUGCUGGAAACUUUAGAGUCAACUGAAUUUGCAGAAACGUUUACCGUAGAAAAAACUCUAUUAUUAACUUCAGUUCUGGAAAAUGCGUUGGCAAAUUUGUUCUUUGUCACCAGUGAUAAUUGUACACCACCGCAUUUGUUGCGUGACUUAUUACGCACAAAGGAGCUCCACAAUAUAUUCGGGUUAGAAAUAAUGUCCUUAUUGAAAAUAAUAAUGGGUACGCCUAAUGCAAUCAAUUUACGCAACAUUGUAUGGCAUGGCUUUCCAAAACCUGAAGAAAUACCAAAUUAUUAUGUCACAAUACUAAUCAUUAUUAUGCAUAGCUUGGGCUCGGAGCUUAAAAGUAAACAAAUUGUUCAGUUGAUUGAGCGUCCAAAAGCUUCAGAUUUUAAAAUAUUAUGUGAGAAAGUUUUAAACCAACUUUUAUUGCCUUCAGAAUUCGUAAAUGAGAGUAAAUGCUUUGAACAAAUUAAAAAUCAUGUGUGGCUACACAAAGCUUUUAAGCAGUACUGGUAUCGGCUAUACCAAUAUUAUGAAAGAAAACAGUUUUGGAAUUUCGUAAUAUUGAUCAUACCGCAAAUCGAAUUAUUACUUCGAUUCAUAUAUGCACAAGCAAAUAAUUUUGAUGUUUCUGCCAAGUUGGAUGAGUACUAUAUUACAAUGGAUUCAAUAUUUGAGUGUAACGUUACAACUGAAGAGGCAAGUAGUAAAAACAAACUAAUAAAUGAGAAGGUUCUAAGUGAGGACCUGCUUAGCCUUACAUAUGAUUUAUUUAUUGCACCAAAUGGACCACGCGUGAGAGAUAAAAUUAGUCAUGGUGAAAUUGAUAUUGCUCUAAUAGAUUAUCCGGAAUUAUGUGAUAUCUUGCUCUAUCUUUCCAUGGGACUAUUAAAUUUUGAGCAGCCGUUUCAAAAAUAUGAAAGUGUUUUCCAUUUAAAUUGCGUUACAAAAAACACAUUGAGUCGAGCUGGAAAAGAAUUUGAAAAACUGAGAGAAAAAUAUUUAAGAGAAGAAAAUAUAGACUCCUCAAAAUUACUUAUCGAGGAUGGAGUGCCCUGUGAUAUAAAAAUAUUUAAUCGUCCAAAAAAGGAAUCUGAAAUAAUUUAUUUAGUGUUAAGAAAUGCGAAAUUUGUCCAAACGUCUUGUGCAAACUAUUCAUUUUCCAUUGAUACUAGAUUAAAGCUGUUGGAACAGCGCGAAUUACAUUCUAAAAGACGUCGUACUUUGGAGCGCAUACUGGAAGUUCUGCCGAAUAUUUGUAAUGCCUUAAGGGAUAUUUUGACUUGCCUCUUGUGCAUAUUCGUAAAGCUGCAAACUGACGAUUCCAUUUUUCAAAAUGAAGAAGUUUCUAAAACUCUACUAAGAUUUUUAAAGCACACAUUAAAAUUGACCGAAAAUUUUACUAAAUAUUCCAAUGAGAGCAGCAAUGAAUGGAUUAAAGCUGUUCAAUUGUGUAAAAAGUUCACUGAUGUAAAACUACUAUAUUAUCCGACAGAAUACUUCUAAUAAUGGACCUUCCUCAGGAAAAAACGUCGCGGUCCUAAUUACGGCAGCUGGUGGCGUAUAUGUACGGGAUUUAUCCAGAAAGUAAUAGGACUGAUUUUUGCCCGCCGCGGCUAUACUUCGGAGAGUGCGCGUACCAACUGAUUCGGCAGAGGGCGUUCCUAGUUAACGAACGAGCGGCUGGUCAGUUGUCUCCGAGCACCUGGAGAGUCAGGAGUGAGUGGUGCAAGUCGAAAAUGCAGCGUUUGUUAGAGCGGAGGUAUCCGAUUAAAUUCUGUGUGAAACUCGGUAAUGAUAUGAUCAAGCAGGCUUACCCAGAUGUUGCUUUAGCAAGAAGUGGUGUGUUUCGGUGGCUCCAAGCAAAUCCAAAGUGAGAACGAUGCUCAUCGUCUUUUUUUGACAUCAAAGGCAUCGUCCACCAUGAAUUUGUUCCUCCAUGACAAACCGUCAAUGCCAAGUAUUACGUAGAAGUCCUUAAGAGACUCAAUCCCGUCCACAAGACAUCGCAGCCGAUUGGAAGUUGCACAGCGACAACGCCCCGGCUCACACCGCCAAUCUUUUGAAGAGCUACCUAACCAACGCCGGCAUCACAAUGCUACCGCAGCCACCCUACAGCCCAGAUGUGGCCCCCGAUAGUUUAUUCUGCAUGCAUAAAGAAAAAGCUUGCAAAAUCGCCUUCAAAAAUCAAAUAAGAUAACAGCAUAUGUAUAUGCCUUAUUUUGGACCGCAACUUAUAAGAAAUUUCAAUUAUAUAUCUACUGGAAUCGAGAUCAGACACACCACACCUCCAAUCAAACUCCAGUGUGGCCUCAUUUGUGUCCGCAGUAGAUCUGGUAUCAACAAAGACAUUCGAAUACUAUUUAAAGCAGACCUCUUAAAAUAUUUCAAGCACCUUUAAUUACUUGAUUAUUGAUAUUUAUUAUUAAUUAAUAUUUUGAUUCUUGCUUUUGCUUACAAAUAUGCUAUGUCGUUCAAUCGCGCCCAAAAAUUAAGCAGGCAAUCAAGCGAAUUUGAAAUGAUCAAAUGUCUCAUAAAUACAUAAAAUUGUCAAAUAUGGCUA